GCGGGUAUAGUUCAGUGGUAGAACGGUUGCUUCCCAAGCAACAUGUCAGCGGUUCGAGUCCGCUUACCCGCUC
rnacentral:tRNA from 1 species